rnacentral:rRNA from 1 species
UACAGAGGUCUCAAGCGUUGCUCGGAAUCACUGGGCGUAAAGCGCACGUAGGCGGCUUUUUAAGUCAGGGGUGAAAUCCUGGAGCUCAACUCCAGAACUGCCUUUGAUACUGGGAAGCUUGAGUCCGGGAGAGGUGAGUGGAACUCCGAGUGUAGAGGUGAAAUUCGUAGAUAUUCGGAAGAACACCAGUGGCGAAGGCGGCUCACUGGCCCGGUACUGACGCUGAGGUGCGAAAGCGUGGGGAGCAAACAGG